rnacentral:lncRNA from 1 species
UAAAAAUAAAAUUGAGAAAGGAAAUGGGGAAUGUGUCAAAGCGACAACAACCCGACCAUAGAGCAGACGACAGCCGAAGGCCACCAAUGGUUCUUCAAUGUAGCGAGAAACUCCCGCACCCGUAAGUGUCCUUCAGCUGGCCCCUUAAAAAAUAUGUAUACUAGUACAGUGAUAAUGGACGUCAUACUAAACUCCGAAUUAUACACAAGAAACUAAAAUUAAAAAUCAUACAAGACUUAC